AUUCCAGCUCCAAUAGCGUAUAUUAAAGUUGUUGCAGUUAAAAAGCUCGUAGUUGGAUUUCGGGUGAGGAUGACCGGUCUGCCGUUGCGGUACGCACUGGACGUUUUCAUCUUGUUGUCGGGGACGCGCUUCUGGGCUUCACUGUUCGGGACGCGGAGUCGGCGCUGUUACUUUGAAAAAAUUAGAGUGUUCAAAGCAGGCAAUCGCUCUGAAUACAUUAGCAUGGAAUAACGCUAUAGGACUCUGGUCCUAUUGUGUUGGUCUUCGGGACCGGAGUAAUGAUUAAGAGGGACAGUUGGGGGCAUUCGUAUUUCAUUGUCAGAGGUGAAAUUCUUGGAUUUAUGAAAGACGAACUUCUGCGAAAGCAUUUGCCAAGGAUGUUUUCAUUA
rnacentral:rRNA from 1 species